AUCCAGCUGACGAGUCCCAAGCAGGAUGAAACGCGCGUUAUGGGU
rfam:Schistosoma margrebowiei strain Zambia genome assembly, scaffold: SMRZ_contig0007520